UACAGAGGGUGCUAGCGUUAAUCGGAAUUAUUGGGCGUAAAGAGCACGUAGGCGGUUAUAUAAGGCAGAUGUGAAAUCCCCGGGCUUAACCUGGGAACUGCAUUUGAAACUGUAUGACUAGAGUAGAGCAGAGGAAAGUGGAAUUUCCGGUGUAGCGGUGAAAUGCGUAGAGAUCGGAAGGAACACCAGUGGCGAAGGCGACUUUCUGGGUUCAUACUGACGCUGAGGUGCGAAAGCGUGGGGAGCAAACAGG
rnacentral:rRNA from 1 species